GAGGUCGGUAAGUGUCGAGACAGA
rnacentral:siRNA from 1 species